rnacentral:rRNA from 1 species
UACGUAGGGUGCAAGCGUUGUUCGGAAUUAUUGGGCGUAAAGCGUGCGUAGGCGGAGCAAUAAGUCAGGUGUGAAAUGCCACAGCUUAACUGUGGAAUUGCGCUUGAAACUAUUGUUCUAGAGGAUGGCAGAGGCAAGUGGAAUUCCUGGUGUAGAGGUGAAAUUCGUAGAUAUCAGGAGGAACACUCGUGGCGAAGGCGGCUUGCUGGGCCAUUCCUGACGCUCAGGCACGAAAGCAUGGGUAGCAAACAGG